GACGAACGCUGGCGGCGUGCUUAACACAUGCAAGUCGAACGGAAAGGCCCUGCUUUUGUGGGGUGCUCGAGUGGCGAACGGGUGAGUAACACGUGAGUAACCUGCCCUUGACUUUGGGAUAACUUCAGGAAACUGGGGCUAAUACCGGAUAGGAGCUCCUGCUGCAUGGUGGGGGUUGGAAAGUUUCGGCGGUUGGGGAUGGACUCGCGGCUUAUCAGCUUGUUGGUGGGGUAGUGGCUUACCAAGGCUUUGACGGGUAGCCGGCCUGAGAGGGUGACCGGCCACAUUGGGACUGAGGUACCGGCCCGAAUCCCAAGGGAGGGAGGCGUGGGGAAUAUUUGCACAUGGGCGGAAGCCUGAAGGCGCCACGCCCGCGUGGGGAUGGACGCCUUUGGGGUUGAAACCCGUUUUCGCCUUUAACAAGCCGGGGGUGCCGUAAUGGGUAAAGAAGCACCGGCUAACUACGUG
rnacentral:rRNA from 1 species